GGUGAUCAUCUCUCUGAAAUAUAAAUCGAAAAGGUGGCGCCGGGUUAUUUUUUGAAAAACAACAAAGCAAACAAAUGACGUUCGAAUGGAAAUUAACCGCCCACUUUCAUCAUAAGAUGGCGACGUUUCUCAGAUUACUUUCGUUGUGUAUGUGUGUGUGCGCUGCAUAUGCAUUUGUAUGCGUAAGAAUUCAUUUCAAAUGUUUGCAAACAGUUUAAAUCGGUUUAAACCGAAUUUAGGGUUAAUCGCCGAAAACAUGAAAAGAUUUCAUUGACAAAACUCGUAAAUUUUGAAAUUAUAGCUUGCCGUAUGGAUUAAACCUCCAAAGACAAAAAAAAAACAUUGACUUUAUAUUUUUAGUAUGAAUCACACACACAUUAUGCCGCUGGACGAGAGCAGGCGGGGAGAGCGAAGAGAUGACGGCGACUGCGACGGCGGCAAUGGCGAACAAGUCAAAAAAUAAAAACAAGAAUGAGCUGAAUACUCUGAAUACCACACACAUAGCGAAGUUGUCAUACUCUACGUUGGUGGCGCUACCUAUGGGCAUUGCAUAAAUUAGAUGCGCAUUUCGUGGUAAUACAAUAACAAUGCAAUGUGAGGUAUAUUGGAGAAUAUACGCACUUAAAGCGUUGGGAGUACAUGUAACAAUUGCGCACUUUUGGGAUAGUCGAACCCAAAUGACAACACGAAGCAAUGAGACUCACGCGUAGAAAGGGUAAACAUUACGCGGCACGGCCUUUGCCACUGAUGUCUCAUCUCUAAGUCGCUAGGCAUUGAUAUUUGCUAUUGCACACAGGAAAAAACCAAAAGUGUUGUUUGUUUGGCAAAGUUACAUUUCUAUCUUGUUUACUUGUUGAAAGAAGCAGUAGAGACGAAGAAACAUCGAUGGAACUAUCGAUGCAGCA